GAUGAACGCUGGCGGCGUGCUUAACACAUGCAAGUCGAACGGUGAAGGCGGAGCUUGCUCUGCUGGAUCAGUGGCGAACGGGUGAGUAACACGUGAGCAAUCUGCCCCUGACUCUGGGAUAAGCGCUGGAAACGGCGUCUAAUACUGGAUACGAGCUGCGAAGGCAUCUUCAGCAGCUGGAAAGAAUUUCGGUCAGGGAUGAGCUCGCGGCCUAUCAGCUUGUUGGUGAGGUAAUGGCUCACCAAGGCGUCGACGGGUAGCCGGCCUGAGAGGGUGACCGGCCACACUGGGACUGAGACACGGCCCAGACUCCUACGCGAGGGAGCAGUGGGGAAUAUUGCACAAUGGGCGAAAGCCUGAUGCAGCAACGCCGCGUGAGGGACGACGGCCUUCGGGUUGUAAACCUCUUUUAGCAGGGAAGAAGCGAAAGUGACGGUACCUGCAGAAAAAGCGCCGGCUAACUACGUG
rnacentral:rRNA from 1 species